CUCCGCCGGCGACCGGCGCACGGGUGAGUAACGCGUAUGCAACCUACCUGUAACAGGGGGAUAACACUGAGAAAUCGGUACUAAUACCGCAUAACACUAUGAGAGGCAUCUCUUGUGGUUGAAAGUUUCGGCGGUUACAGAUGGGCAUGCGUUGUAUUAGCUGGUUGGUAAGGUAACGGCUUACCAAGGCGACGAUACAUAGGGGGACUGAGAGGUUAACCCCCCACAUUGGUACUGAGACACGGACCAAACUCCUACGGAAGGCAGCAG
rnacentral:rRNA from 1 species